AUUGAACGCUGGCGGCAUGCUUUACACAUGCAAGUCGAACGGUAACAGGCCGCAAGGUGCUGACGAGUGGCGAACGGGUGAGUAAUGCAUCGGAACGUGCCCAGUCGUGGGGGAUAACUACUCGAAAGAGUAGCUAAUACCGCAUACGAUCUAUGGAUGAAAGCGGGGGACCGUAGGGCCUCGCGCGAUUGGAGCGGCCGAAGUCAGAUUAGGUAGUUGGUGGGGUAAAGGCUCACCAAGCCAACGAUCUGUAGCUGGUCUGAGAGGACGACCAGCCACACUGGGACUGAGACACGGCCCAGACUCCUACGGGAGGCAGCAGUGGGGAAUUUUGGACAAUGGGCGCAAGCCUGAUCCAGCAAUGCCGCGUGCAGGAAGAAGGCCUUCGGGUUGUAAACUGCUUUUGUACGGAACGAAACGGCUCUGGUUAAUACCCGGGGCUAAUGACGGUACCGUAAGAAUAAGCACCGGCUAACUACGUG
rnacentral:rRNA from 1 species